UACGAAGGGGGCUAGCGUUGUUCGGAAUUACUGGGCGUAAAGCGCGCGCAGGCGGCUAUCCAAGUCAGUGGUGAAAGCCCGGAGCUCAACUCCGGAACUGCCAUUGAAACUGUUUAGCUUGAGGAUGAGAGAGGUGAGUGGAAUUCCCAGUGUAGAGGUGAAAUUCGUAGAUAUCAGGAGGAACACCGGUGGCGAGGGCGGAUCUCUGGGCCAUUACUGACGCUGAGGAGCGAAAGCGUGGGGAGCGAACAGG
rnacentral:rRNA from 1 species